rnacentral:rRNA from 1 species
GUGGGGAAUCUUGCGCAAUGGGCGAAAGCCUGACGCAGCCAUGCCGCGUGAAUGAUGAAGGUCUUAGGAUUGUAAAAUUCUUUCACCGGGGACGAUAAUGACGGUACCCGGAGAAGAAGCUCCGGCUAACUUCGUGCCAGCAGCCGCGGUAAUACGAAGGGGGCUAGCGUUGCUCGGAAUUACUGGGCGUAAAGGGCGCGUAGGCGGACAGCUUAGUCAGAGGUGAAAGCCCAGGGCUCAACCUUGGAAUUGCCUUUGAUACUGGCUGUCUUGAGUUUGGGAGAGGUGAGUGGAACUCCGAGUGUAGAGGUGAAAUUCGUAGAUAUUCGGAAGAACACCGAUGGCGAAGGCAAUCCCCUGGACCUGUACUGACGCUCAUGCACGAAAGCGUGGGGAGCAAACAGGAUUAGAAACCCCUGUAGUCC